ACGGCUCAGUAACACGUGGACAACCUACCCAAAGGUCUGGGAUAACUCCGGGAAACUGGGGAUAAUACCGGAUAGGUCAAGAGUACUGGAAGGGUUUUUUGAUUGAAAGCUCUGGCGCCUUUGGAUGGGUCUGCGGCUGAUUAGGUUGACGCCGGUGUAAAGUACCGGCGUGCCGAUUAUCAGUACGGGUUGUGGGAGCAAGAGCCCGGAGAUGGAUUCUGAGACACGAAUCCAGGCCCUACGGGGCGCAGCAGGCGCGAAAACUCUACAAUGCAGGCAACUGCGAUAGGGGAACAUCGAGUGGCAUCUACAUUAGGUGUCUGUCCAGCUGUCUAAAAAACGGCUGUUAGCAAGGGCCGGGCAAGACCGGUGCCAGCCGCCGCGGUAAUACCGGCGGCUCGAGUGGUGGCCGAUAUUAUUGAGUCUAAAGGGUCCGUAGCCGGCUUUGCAAGUCUUGUGGGAAAUCCAGCGGCUUAACCGUUGGGCGUCUGCGGGAUACUACAUUGCUUGGGACUGGGAGAGGUAGGAGGUACUCAGGGGGUAGGAGUGAAAUCCUGUAAUCCUCUGGGGACCACCGGUGGCGAAGGCGUCCUACCAGAACAGGUCCGACGGUGAGGGACGAAAGCUAGGGGCACGAACCGGAUUAGAUACCCGGGUAGUCCUAGCCGUAAACGAUGCCCGCUAGGUGUCACGGCAGUCGUGAACUGCCGUGGUGCCGUAGGGAAGCCGUGAAGCGGGCCACUUGGGAAGUACGACCGCAAGGUUGAAACUUAAAGGAAUUGGCGGGGGAGCAC
rnacentral:rRNA from 2 species